rnacentral:lncRNA from 1 species
GCCUCAACAGGUAAUUACUAUAUACAACCAACAGUGCCAUUUUUAAGUUAAAAAAAGGUAUUAGGUGAACAAUAGUAAGGAAAUAAAAAACAACAGUAGAGAGGCCCUAUAUACAGACAGGGCACCGAGGCCCUAGACAGGAAACCGAGGCCCUAGACAGGAAACCGAGGCCCUAUAGACAGGGCACCGAGGCCCUAGAGACAGGGCACCGAGGCCCUAUAGACAGGGCACCGAGGCCCUAUAGACAGGGCACCGAGGCCCUAUAGACAGGAAACCGAGGCCCUAGACAGGGCACCGAGGCCCUAUAGACAGGAAACCGAGGCCCUAUAGACAGGAAACCGAGGCCCUAGACAGGGCACCGAGGCCCUAGACAGGGCACCGAGGCCAUAGACAGGGCACCGAGGCCAUAGACAGGAAACCGAGGCCAUAGACAGGAAACCGAGGCCAUAGACAGGAAACCGAGUCCAUAGACAGGAAAC